UACAGAGGGGGCAAGCGUUGUUCGGAAUUACUGGGCGUAAAGGGCGCGUAGGCGGCCGCUUAAGUCAGCCGUGAAAUCCCUCGGCUUAACCGGGGAACUGCAUCUGAUACUGGAUGGCUUGAGUUCGGGAGAGGGAUGCGGAAUUCCAGGUGUAGCGGUGAAAUGCGUAGAUAUCUGGAGGAACACCGGUGGCGAAGGCGGCAUCCUGGACCGACACUGACGCUGAGGAGCGAAAGCCAGGGGAGCAAACGGG
rnacentral:rRNA from 1 species